AUCCAGUUUAUCCUGCUGGAGGAUGCGGCUAUUUGGUUUGUAUUGAGACAUGCAAGUCUCCUGAAAGGGGGCGAACUGCUCAUUAACACGUAGCUAACCUGCCCUUUGGUCAGGGAUAACCUCGGGAAACUGAGGCUAAUACCUGAUAAGAGAUUUUUCCUGGAAUGGAAUAUCUCUCAAACUCGAGCCAAAGGAGGGGGCUGCGGCUGAUUAGGUUGUUGUUGGGGUAAUUGCCUAACAAGCCGAUGAUCAGUAAGGGCUCUUAGCGGAGAAGCCCUGAGAAGGAAUCUGAGACACUAUUCCUAGCUCUACGGGGUGCAGCAGUCGAGGAACUUUUACAAUGCUCGAAAGAGUGAUAGAGCAAGCCAAAGUGUCUCUCUGAGAGAGACUUUUGUCUGCUGUAAAAAGGCAGACGAAUAAGGACUGGGUAAGACCGGUGCCAGCCGCCGCGGUAAUACCGGCGGUCCAAGUCGCAUUCACAUUUAUUGGGUCUAAAACAUCCGUAGCUUGUUUUGUAAGUCUCUUGUGAAAUCCUGCAUCUCAAAUGCAGGGCGGGCAAGAGAUACUGCAAGACUAGAGACCGGAAGAUGCAAGGAGUAUGGUUAAGGUAGCGGUAAAAUGUGUUAAUCUUAACUAGACUAACAACGGCGAAGGCACCUUGCAAGUACGGAUCUGACAGUCAGGGAUGAAGGCUAGGGGCGCAAAAGGGAUUAGAUACCCCUGUAGUCCUAGCAGUAAACACUGCUCACUAAACAUUAGUACCUCCUCGAGAGGCAUUAGUGCUGUAGGGAAGCUGAAGAGUGAGCUACCUGGGAAGUAUAGUCGCAAGGCCGAAACUUAAAGGAAUUGGCGGGGAGGCACUACAACCGGUGACGCGUGCGGUUCAAUUAGAUUCUACACCGUGAACCUCACCAGGAGCGACAGCAGAAUGAAGGUCAGUCUGAAGGGCUUACCUGACACGCUGAGAGGAGUUGCAUGGCCGACGUCAGCCUGUGCCGUGAGGUGACCUGUUAAAUCAGGUAACAGGCGAGACCCGCGUCCAUAAUUACUACAGAAAUGGGUACAUCUGUCUCUUAUACACAUCUGACGCUGCCGACGAAGAGGAUAGUGUAGAUCUCGGUGGUCGCCGUAUCAUUA
rnacentral:rRNA from 1 species